rnacentral:tRNA from 1 species
GGUGGCUCAGUGGUAGAGUGCUUGCCUUGCUUGCAUGAAGCCCGGGGUUCGAUUCCUCAGCACCA